rnacentral:rRNA from 1 species
UACGAAGGGGGCUAGCGUUGCUCGGAAUGACUGGGCGUAAAGGGCGCGUAGGCGGAUGGCUUUGUCGGGCGUGAAAUUCCAGGGCUUAACCUUGGGGCUGCGUUCGAGACGGGUUGUCUUGAGUGGGGAAGAGGGUCGUGGAAUUCCCAGUGUAGAGGUGAAAUUCGUAGAUAUUGGGAAGAACACCGGUGGCGAAGGCGGCGACCUGGUCUUUUACUGACGCUGAGGCGCGAAAGCGUGGGGAGCAAACAGG